UAAUACGUAGGGGGCAAGCGUUGUCCGGAUUUAUUGGGCGUAAAGCGCGUGUAGGCGGCCAGGUAGGUCCGCUGUGAAAACUCGAGGCUCAACCUCGAGACGUCGGCGGAAACCAUCUGGCUAGAGUCCGGAAGAGGAGAGUGGAAUUCCUGGUGUAGCGGUGAAAUGCGCAGAUAUCAGGAAGAACACCGAUGGCGAAAGCAGCUCUCUGGGACGGUACUGACGCUGAGACGCGAAAGCGUGGGGAGCGAACAG
rnacentral:rRNA from 1 species